UACGUAGGGGGCAAGCGUUGUCCGGAAUCAUUGGGCGUAAAGAGCGUGUAGGCGGCUUGGUAAGUCCGCUGUGAAAGUCCGGGGCUCAACCCUGGAGACGCCACCCGAUACUGCUGUGGCUAGAGUCCGGUAGGGGAGCGUGGAAUUCCUGGUGUAGCGGUGAAAUGCGCAGAUAUCAGGAGGAACACCAGCGGCGAAGGCGGCGCUCUGGGCCGGUACUGACGCUGAGGAGCGAAAGCGUGGGGAGCAAACAGG
rnacentral:rRNA from 1 species